UUGUUUCCAAGAACCUCAAUGUGAGGACCUUUGACAUGAUGACAAUUGGGCUUUACAUUCUAGCCCCCUCAUUUGCUUUGCUUCUCAUUUGCAUAUUUGCUGGAGUCAUCAUAUACAAGUGUAACAGGUCUUCACCUGCUAAUCCACAAGAAUCACAGCCUAAACACAGUCAGAGAAAAUCCUGCACUAUGAAGGAUUAUGAAGAUUAUUACGCCAAUAUGAAAGAUCUCAACAUUAAUGGAAACGUCUAAGGAAAAUGCUCAAUAUCACCUGCAAAAUGUGCUCAAUAAAACAGAAAAGAAAAAAGUCAACAUAUAUUUUAGUAAAUGUUAAAAAAGACUUUCUCAUGUCAUGGAAAAUAGCAUUAAUAUUUUAAUUCACAUGCUUUUAUAUUAGACUUACUAAUACUUUGUCUGAUUUGUGUGGCAUCUGGAUCUCUCUUUGGCUUUUCAGCUCUAAUGGGCAAUUUGGCUAAGCAAACAACUUUGCUCUUAAAGGGACAGUUCAUCCAAAAAUUUAAAUUCUGUCAUAAUUUACUCACUCUCAUGUUGUUUCAAACCUGUAUGAGUUUCUUUAUUCUGUUGAACACAACAGAAGAUAUUUUGAUAAAUGAUGGUGAGCACACAGUUUCCGUACCCUUAGACGUCCACAGUAAUGGUGUUUCCUUCUGUACUACAGGAUGGUAGCCAAUGGGUAUCGUGAAGUGUAUGGUUACCAUCAUUUAUUAAUGAGUCAUUUGAUUCGAUUUCUUUUGUCUUUAAUGUGUUAAAAUGUGUCUGUGCAUACAAAAGAUCUGUAAAGUUGCAAAUAUUAAAGUUUCAAACACAAAGAAAUCAUUUUUUU